rnacentral:lncRNA from 1 species
GCAUAAUUUCUCUUUGAUAUUUGGUUAUAAGGGUACUGGCAUAGUUUCUUCCAGCUCCAAAAUUCUUAAUUUGGUAAGUUUCAAUCUAUCCCUUUAAUAAGCAGAACAUAUUAUUUUCUUCAUUUUGUAGGUCAAAAAAGAACCCUAAAAUAAGCACUGCCAGUUGGUACAUGACUUCAGACAAUCUCCCAUUCAAUCUAAAACUGUCUCUAACACAAGGCUCACUGCUUAGGCAUAUGUAUUAUAGUUUCCACAUCACAUAAAUUACUUUACAAAAAAGAAGUCCCCAAAGAAAUAUCUUCUACCAUGGGUUCAGUUCAAAGUAAAUACUAAGUAAACAGGUUUAAAAUACAGAUUUACUUUGAAAAAUACCUUAAUUAGAGGUUCAGUAACGGUCUUUGGUUAAAAAAAAGCAUUACAAAGCAAGUUGUCUGAAUAGCCAUUCGAAUCUCCCUUUUGUUUUAGGCUCUAACUGGCAUGGCCAUGACCCUGCCCUGUAUUUAGGUCAACCUUGGCUAAAAGCUAUUUUCCUCUAAGAAAUCAGGACGUAUUUAACAAUUUCUUUAAGCUUCAUGGUGAAAACUUAUCAGAACCUCUUUUUUUUUUUUUAAUGCAGGACUUUUCAGAACCUUUAAUGAGCUAAUAUUUGUUGUGAAUCCCUAAGAGGCAGAGAUCCUUUUGUCCAUACAUCCCUUCUGGAAGUAAUCACUUUAAGCAUGCUGUUAACUAAUCCUACAGGACAAGAGUUUGCCAAAUCUGGUUCAAAGAACCUGGGUCAGUUUUGAGUCACUUUUUACCUCUUCUACCACACCCUGAAAUGUUAACGUGCUUUUUUACCUUUGGCCUUUUUGAGCACAUGAUCUUUUCCCAAAUCUGCUCCCAGCUUAUAGCUUGGAAAGACUAAGAUUUGUCAUAGGAGAAUUGAAAAUGCAAAGAUCAAGACGGAAAAAACAUUCAGAAAGCAAGAUUUUGCAGCCAAACAUGAGCCUUGGAAAAUCAAGUUAUUAUCUUCAGAGAUAAUAUCCUUCCUUUGCUAUCUUUACUGAGCUAAACUAUAGAAUCCUACAUAGUCAGGACCUGAGAGGAAGAGGAAGGAAGAAUCCUGCCUGUUUUUGACACUGGAAGCAUUGUGAGAAAGGAGAGAAGGGCACUGAGAUGAAUAGACACGUCAAUUCUUUUUUACUUCUCCUAGCCCCUCUCUGUUUAUACAUGCCUUUCUCCGUUUGCAUGCUUUAAGACACCCCUUAAGGUCCUGGGGUGGAGCCAUAUCAAAAUAAACCACCGUUUACAGGCAGGCAGGGGAAUCCCUGAGGUUUAGCUUUUCUGAACCGUGCUGGAUUACUGUGCAGGAUAGACAAGAUGCAGAUGUAGCUAAGGAUCUGACAAAGAAGAGUCUCAGAGAGAGAUCACUGCCAUAAACAGAGCUAACUCUGGAACAAGAUCUGCAGAGUGGACUGCUCAUGGCACGAUCAAGUGGGUAGCACAGCCAGACCUCCAAGGAUUCCAAGGUCCAGCGAAAGCCAAGGAUAAGUCUGGAGUCAGCCAGUGUGUACCCAGUGAGAGAAGAUUUUUUAAAUGGACCAUUCGAGUUCAUUAGUCACAAGCAUGAGCACUGUAGGUCAACGAGGCAUUCAGCAAGCAGGAGAUCAGGAGACACUGCCCCACAGAUGAGGGCAAUGGACAGUGGGCACAAGGGAAGUAACUCUUUCCCUCCCACUGUCCCGUACACCUCGUCAUCUUGGAGAAGCAUAGGAAGAAGGGAGAGAGAGAUGAGUGAUGUUUCCCAGACAGAAGCAUCAUUACCCCAGGAGACUGUUUAAAUUAUAAACUCAAACUCCUUUUCUUCGAGACUGGCUUCAGUAGUUAUGUUUUAUUUUUGAAGCAAUGCGUAAAUGAGCCUUACUAGAAAAACCAGAUUCCCAACAAAACAAAGUACACAUUUCUCUGGACAUUCGAGUUACAACAGGUGGAUUUUUUUACCCCUCUUCCUCUAAUCCCAUCAGAGCUUCCUAAAUACGGCAUCAGUUUUAGGUCUAAGGUAUUGUCCUCUGUGUAACACACCGAAGUAAAUCCAACCAGCCAUCAAAGUUCAGCUCAAAGUCCAAAUUUAUCCCAAAGCCUUCUACUUUAAACCCGCUCAUCUUCCUUCUCAUGGUCCUCCUUGGACAAAGAUAGUUUUAACCUAGUUUUAACCAAGAUGACUGAACUGCUGAGAUGACAAAGAUCCCUUUAAAACACAAAAAACCUGGAGGAGUUUCCCCACAUAGCACAGUUUCCUUAGCUCCUGAGCCUCCCAGGGCCCUGACCAGCCCUGCUGCCAAGAGGAACAGUUCUGUCAUAAUCCUAGGCUAGACCAAUUUCGACACAAAAGCUUGGGACUCAGCCAGAACCAAUGACCUGGAAAAGGCAGUGAGUCAAACAUCCAAUAAACACGAUGUCUAUAGCACCUGUCUCUCCCCACAAUUACGGUAGGCAACCAUGACAUCUAUAACCUAAUACAAAACAUUCCUUGCCACCAGGCAAAGUAUUCCUCCCAGCUAACAAACAAAACCACUUUUAAAUGUUUAAUCAUUUUGCCUUGGUAAAUAUUCAUUUGUAAAAUUUGAAAUAAUAGAAUCCUAUAACCAGAAUAAAGAAUUUUUUGGACUUAGUGCUUCACAGUGGGAAAAAAAAAUACAUUCUUGAAAAACCUGAGUCAGUUGUAAUUAACUCCUACUUAUCUCAACAUGUUAUUAAUCCUUUAUUUUAUCGCCAGGUUCAUUUUUUUCUAUUGCCCUGCAAAAUCCAGGAGGAAAAAAAUAUGGGACCGUUCCCAAAAUCUAUUUUUGUCUUAUUUUUCUUCUCUCAUUUAUUUACAUGCAAAAACUUAAAAUCAGGUAGUUAAAAAUCAUCUUUCAAUUUUCCAUCAUUGAGAACAGAUAUACACUUAGCUCAAGUUGCAGUACCUAUUAUUCGCUCAAGGACCUUGGGUGAAAUCAACUUUCAGAGCCUCGAGGGUUUUCAGUAUUAUUUAUAAAAUAAGGAUGAUACAGCAAUACCUAACGCGGGAAGCUAUUAUAAUGGCAAAAUGAAAUGGUAUUUAAUCCACAUAGCUAAUUUAGCUAAGUCAUGAGUAAUGAAGCCCUCUAGAAGGUCCAGUAGGAAAGCAGAGGAAGGCAGGCUUCACUGAGCAGCAAAGGCACCAGAGAGAGGAUACCUGAUCUUUAAGAUACGUGACCCUGGACUGGGAGAGGAAGGAAAGGAGGAAAAUAAUCCCAUGAAGAAGAACGGGGAUGUGCAAAGGAAUAGGCUGAGUUCCAAGCACUACGAGAACUGGUUCUGAAGGGCUCUGGAUGGCACAUGAAGGCAAACAACUUUCCAUUCCAUGGCGCAUGGGUGAAAUCAGGCUCAUCCACUUACCUACCUUCCUCCCUACCACGUUCACCUUUCUUCUCUAGGUCAGGGUCUCCGCUCACUCGCUGCCCUGUCCACACUGAAACACCACGCUCAAAAUCCACCUUCUCCAGAAUGCCUCCUCGGACUCAACUACCUACAGUCACCUCUCCUUUUCCCGAUGUCCCGUCAAACACAGAAACUGCUGAAAGAUGAACUGCAUUUAGUUAUAUAGCCUCUUUUAUGAUGCUAAGUAUUUCUUUUAUACAACCCUUGUUCAAAUUAUGAAUUCCUGAAGGACAGUGACCGUACCAACAAAAACAAGAGUAAAAAUACCACCAAUUUUUAGGUAAUUGUAUUAUCGUUUAAAAAAGACAUAGCUUGGAGUUCCCGUGGUGGCGCAGUGGUUAACGAAUCCGACUAGGAACCAUGAGGUUGCGGGUUCGAUCCCUGCCCUUGCUCAGUGGGUUAAAGAUCCGGCGUUGCCGUGAGCUGUGGUGUAGGUCGCAGACGCGGCUCGGAUCCCGAGUUGCUGUGGCUAUGGUGUAGGCUGGUGGCUACAGCUCCGAUUAGACCCCUAGCCUGGGAACCUCCAUAUGCCGCAGGAGCGGCCCAAGAAAUGGCAAAAAGACAAAAAAAAAAAUAAAAAAUAAAAAAGACAUAGCUUCUUCUGACCCUCAAAACAACCCGGCUGGAAGACAAAUAGUGCCCAUGAUGUGACAAUUCCCACUCUACAGGGGAAGACGCCAAAGUCCAAAGCUGAGGUCACAGAGAUACGGAGCAACGAGCUGACCUCACUCCCUUUGCAGUUGCCCACGACACCCUAGCAGAAUGCUGGAGGCCUGCUUGUCUUUUACACUAAGAGGCCAUUUGCUGACCAGAGAACAUAGAAAACCACCAAAAGACCCUCAAAUAGUUUUGCUUCCCACCGCAGGGAAAUGUCCAAAUAAUUCUUACGGUAAUCUUGCAUUCUCAGGGAUUUCCUAAUCCCUGAAAUGACCUAAAUCAUCUCC